UACAGAGGUCCCAAGCGUUGUUCGGAAUCACUGGGCGUAAAGGGUGCGUAGGCGGUCGGGUAAGUCUGACGUGAAAUCUUCGAGCCUAACUCGGAAACUGCGUCGGAUACUAUUCGGCUAGAGGAAUGGAGGGGAGACUGGAAUUCCUGGUGUAGCGGUGGAAUGCGCAGAUAUCAGGAGGAACACCGGUGGCGAAGGCGGGUCUCUGGGCAGUAACUGACGCUGAGGAGCGAAAGCGUGGGGAGCGAACAGG
rnacentral:rRNA from 1 species